rnacentral:sRNA from 1 species
GGGUGGUCGGAGCUGCACUCCUCCUCCCAGCAGCUUCGGGCAACGACUGGCAACCCUCCUCCUCCCAAGUUGUCAGUCAGAAUCGAAGCCCGGUGCAUCUCCUCCCGCACCGGGCUUUUUCA